AGAAUUUGAUCCUGGUUCAGGAUGAACGCUAGCGGUGCGCCUUAAGCAUGCAAAUCGAGCGGUCCCGACCUUGUGUCGGGACAGCGGUGGACGGGUGAGUAACACGUAGGAAUCUACCCUUUGGUGGGGAAUAACCCUCCGAAAGGAGGGGUAAUACCGCAUAACUCUGCAAAGAAAAAGGGCUUAACUGCCCGCCGAAGGAUGAGCCUGCGCCCUAUCAGCUUGUUGGUGAGGUAAUGGCUUACCAAGGCUUUGACGGGUAGCUGGACUGAGAGGUUGGUCAGCCACAAUGCUACUGAGAUACGGAGCAUACAUCUACGGAUGGCAGCAACUGGGAAUCAUGCGCAAUGGGCGAAAGCCUGACGCUGCGACACCGCGUGGAGGAUGAAGGUUUUCGGAUCGUAAACUCCUUUUUUCUAACUAUCGUGGUUAGAAGAAUAAACACCUGCAAACUACGUGCCAGAAGCCUCGGUAAUACGUAGGGUGUAAGCGUUAUCCGGAUUUAUUGGGCGUAAAGAGUUUCGUAGGCGUUUGAUUAAGUUUUUGGUUAAAGCCCAAAGCUUAACUUUGGAAAAGCCAAAAAAACUAAUUAAAUAGAGAGUCUUAGGGGAUGCUGGAACACUCAGUGUAGGGGUGAAAUCCGUUGAUAUUGAGUGGAAUACCAAGGGCGAAGGCGAGCAUCUGGGGGACUUCUGACGCUGAUGAACGAAAGCUAGGGGAGCAAAGCAGAUUAGAGACCUGCGUAGUCCUAGCCGUAAACAAUCCUCGCUAGAUUUCUUCAACAUUCGUUGAGGGAGUCGCAAGUUAACACGUUAAGCGAGGCGCCUGGGGAGUACGGCCGCAAGGCUAAAACUCAAAGGAAUUGACGGGGACCCGCACAACCAGUGGAGCAUGUGGUUUAAUUCGAUACGAAGCGAAAAACCUUACCUGGGCUUGAAAUCCAAGCGUUCUAUUUCCGGGAAACCGGAGAAAUCCGUAAGGAGGCUUGGACAGCUGCUGCAUGGCUAUUUUUGACGAUGGCCCUUCGAGAGGUAACUUUCGAAGCAAAACCGGCUCAUAACGGUGAAACCCUCAUUGAUUUCGGGUAAUCUUCGGAUUACAAUGAAACAAAAGGAUAAUACCGUGGGAAGCAAAGUCUAUUUAAAAUCAGCCGAAGACUUUUAUAUUUUAGGUCUUUGGUUGGCAGAUGGGUAUUGGUGGUCAAGUUCCUUCGGUCUUUCGUCUACUGAUAAAAAGCUAAUUAAUAGAU
rnacentral:rRNA from 1 species